GGAUGUGAGGGCAAUUUGACUGCAACAUAUGUCACCCCACGGAUCACCAGGGUUGAUUUUGCUGAUCUGGAUGGCUAGGUAGGUGUCCCCUUCCUCUCUCACCACUCUGUGUGUCCCUCCCACACUCAAAGAGGAUGACCGCCCCCAGCAGAGGAGGACUGUUUCCUUGGCAAGGGUAUACAAGUAGCUGCGCUCCCCUGCUAGAAUCUCCAAACAAGCUCUCAAGAAUACAAAAAGUAAGCAGCUUUAAUUUAUAUAGACAAGAAUUAAAUUGCCCGCAGGCAUGGUAGCACAUGCCUGUAAUA
ensembl:misc_RNA 7SK 7SK RNA